AACGAACGCUGGCGGCAGGCUUAACACAUGCAAGUCGAGCGCACCGCAAGGUGAGCGGCAGCCGGGUGAGUAACGCGUGGGAAUCUACCCAACCCUACGGAAUAACCCAGGGAAACUUGGACUAAUACCGUAUACGCCCUUUUGGGGAAAGAUUUAUCGGGGAUGGAUGAGCCCGCGUUGGAUUAGCUAGUUGGUGGGGUAAAGGCCUACCAAGGCGACGAUCCAUAGCUGGUCUGAGAGGAUGAUCAGCCACAUUGGGACUGAGACACGGCCCAAACUCCUACGGGAGGCAGCAGUGGGGAAUAUUGGACAAUGGGCGCAAGCCUGAUCCAGCCAUGCCGCGUGAGUGAUGAAGGCCUUAGGGUUGUAAAGCUCUUUCAGUAGGGAAGAUAAUGACGGUACCUACAGAAGAAGCCCCGGCUAACUUCGUG
rnacentral:rRNA from 1 species